AAAAGUUGUCACAUGCCCCAUAUAAGGGAUCAUGCCUGAGAAGUUAUUGUCGGACAAAUUCAAGUAACCUAAAAAUGAUAAUGUAGACAUGCUGGAAGGAAUUGCACCUGAGAGCCUAUUGUGCGAAAGAUCAAGAGAAGAAAUUUGCCGCACGUUUGAAAUGCUUCCAGGAAUCUGACCGAUGACUUGGUUCUUUGACAAGUUCAAAGCCACUAAGCCCACCAAUUUUGUGAUUUCUUUAGGAAACUCUCCAUGUAAGUUGUUGCUGGCAAGGUCUAUACUAGUGACCAAGGAAAGAGUUUUUGUAUACUUCUGAGCCCCACCUUUUAUAUUCACAAUCAAGCUUUCUUCAUAGUAAACGCCUCUAUAUUUCCCAUAUGGUAGAUAUUCAUUUAUGUACUGUUCUAGAGACAUGGCUUUAAAAUCUCCAA
rnacentral:misc_RNA from 1 species